GAUGAGUAUAUUGUCGUAUAUAGUUGAUUACUCCAAAAUAUAAUUAAUUAUUUUAGAUUAAUUACUUAACCACUUAAUUUUGCUCUAAUUCUAUUUGUCAGAAUCAUAUUGAAUCUCUGUUCAUCACUCUUAAAUUGAGUAGUUACACAUAAGUUCUAGUGAAGAACAAUCUUGGUGUUGUUUCUCUGAACAUCAGUUGAGUUGUGGGUGACCUGAUGUUGAAAUAGUAAUUUCCUAGCAGUGCACUAGAUUAUGCUCCAGAAUAUACAUUACUCAAAUUACAUAGGUGUUCAUUUAUGAUCAUGACAGAAAUACAGAAGAAAAAAAAAUCAAGGUUUCCACAACUUCAUUGUGCCGUCUUCACUAUAAGUUGCAACAAGAUUCCUAUGGGGAUGAUGAGUAACACCGAUAAUUUCCUUUUCAUGGACCU
rnacentral:lncRNA from 1 species